GUUUCUCUCUUUUUGCUUUAAUUUGUUGUAUGGGAUCAAUGGAUACUUCUUAGCAAAUGAUCAAUUGAUUAUUUUCUUAUGACAUACUAUUUUUUACAUGGAACUAAAAAGAACAUUGGUAUUCUGAGAAAAUAAGAUUAAUGAAGUCAUAUAUUUUGUUUAAAUCAAGUAAGGUAGCAUACAUGUAGCUUUACUUGCUAUUUUUGCAUCAUGGAUGCUGAAACCUGAUGCCAUGUACAUCAGUGUAAGUGUGUUGCCAUGACAAGCAGAUGAUGUGUGUCAUGAUGAGAGAAACGCAAGUAAUGGUUGCGUUAGUGUUGCAUAUAUAUCACUGAUUGUGUGUAUCUACUGCUCGGUUGAUUAAAUAAUUAGUGGCUCACUAAUUAAAUAAACCUGGAUGCUAGAAUGAAUUUGUGGCUCCCUAAUUAAACAACCCAGGAUGAAUCUUUCUACAAUGGAGCUAAUUAAACAAACUAGGAUAAUAAAAUUAAUUAGUGGUUCACUACUUAACCAAGCCAGGAGGCUAAAACUUGCUAUAAUGGAUUCUUGAAUUGCUAACUUAUAUAUGGCUCAUGUCAAUUGAGGAUUGCAUAUAUUCAAGCAGGUCGUCGGUGCUCUGUUGGUUGAUGGAUUUUUCUUAUCUGCCAGCAGACCGCACUGGAGGCUGCCGCCAUAUCUGAGGACAUCGUGAUGAGGUUGCCGCUUUGGCCAUAGCAGAGGGGAUCCGGCCGGCACGCCGCGUCUCCCAUAAACAUGCCUAAUUUUAUAUUCAGAGGAAUGUAUCCAUGUACUCGGAAACCUGUGAACUCUUUGAUACACCUUUUAUGUGUUGCUUUUGGUCUUGAUAGAGGGAGAUACAUUGACAGGAAGUGCUCACUCGCUAGAAUUGUUUCUAUCAGGGGCAGAAUUAUUGUUGAAACAUGCACUGUGUGAAGAUGAAUAGGAACCUUUCAUAAUUAUUCCCAAACAUGCCACUGUGUCAUCAUUGGCCAAUGCAGGUAUUGCUCUCUAGCUGAUAUAUUGUUUAGUUCUUCUUGGUUUCAAUUAUGUUGGCCCUCCUUAAGAUUGCUUGGGAAUGUGAGGCUUCAAAGUUUCAACCCUGUGCAAGGCUCCAAAGCUUUACCAGUUUUCCACUUGCUUUCAAAUGAAUUUGUCAUUGAAGAAACCAUGAAUUCUUUUGUUUUC